CAGUAGCCGCGGGAAUACAGAGGGUGCGAGCGUUAAUCGGAUUUACUGGGCUUAAAGCGUGCGUAGGCGGCUUCUUAAGUCGGAUGUGAAAUCCCUGAGCUUAACUUAGGAAUUGCAUUCGAUACUGGGAAGCUAGAGUAUGGGAGAGGAUGGUAGAAUUCCAGGUGUAGCGGUGAAAUGCGUAGAGAUCUGGAGGAAUACCGAUGGCGAAGGCAGCCAUCUGGCCUAAUACUGACGCUGAGGUACGAAAGCAUGGGGAGCAAACAGGAUUAGAUACCCCCGUAGUCCCUGUCUCUUAUAC
rnacentral:rRNA from 1 species